rnacentral:rRNA from 1 species
UACGUAGGGGGCAAGCGUUGGCCGGAAUCAUUGGGCGUAAAGCGCGUGUAGGCGGCCCGAUAAGUCCGCUGUGAAAGUCCAGGGCUCAACCCUGGAAUGCCGGUGGAUACUGUCGGGCUCGAAUCCGGAAGAGGUGAGUGGAAUUCCUGGUGUAGCGGUGAAAUGCGCAGAUAUCAGGAGGAACACCAAUGGCGAAGGCAGCUCACUGGGACGGUAUUGACGCUGAGACGCGAAAGCGUGGGGAGCAAACAGG